AUGAACUCGAGGCGGCGUCGGACUGUGCUGGCCCCUUGGGGCAUGUGCACGCCCGACGUCGUCCAUCUCACACACACACACCCGUGCACGACAUGGAGGCGUUGCGCGCUCGUAGGGUUUGCCGGCGACACGUCGGCUCUCCCGGGGGCACGCGGCCCUUCUACUUUUCCACACACACCUUUGACCGGUCGCGCUUGUACUUGAUGUAACCAAUA
rnacentral:misc_RNA from 1 species